GCUACUUGUAUAUUUCAGUGUGUCACCUUAAUCUGAAUUUAUAAUUCAAAUGUAUGCAGACGCAUUGCAGCCUUUAUUGAUCCAGGGCCAUGGUCUGAGAAGACAGGGAGAGACCUUGAACAUUUUCCUCUUCAGUCCAACGGACAUGACUGUGGGAUCUUCAUGUUAAUGUAUGCCCUCUGCAUCAGCACAUCAACCCCAUUUACCUUUUCCCAGUGGGAGAUGCCAACCAUUCGCCGUUGGUGGUGCCUCCAGAUAAUGGAGAGGUUUAGCAUUGAAGGGUACCUUCACACAGGAAACUUCAAUGU